rnacentral:rRNA from 1 species
UGGGGAAUUUUGGACAAUGGGGGAAACCCUGAUCCAGCCAUCCCGCGUGUGCGAUGAAGGCCUUCGGGUUGUAAAGCACUUUUGGCAGGAAAGAAACGUCAUGGGUUAAUACCCCGUGAAACUGACGGUACCUGCAGAAUAAGCACCGGCUAACUACGUGCCAGCAGCCGCGGUAAUACGUAGGGUGCAAGCGUUAAUCGGAAUUACUGGGCGUAAAGCGUCCGCAGGCGGUUCGGAAAGAAAGAUGUGAAAUCCCAGAGCUCAACUUUGGAACUGCAUUUUUAACUACCGGGCUAGAGUGUGUCAGAGGGAGGUGGAAUUCCGCGUGUAGCAGUGAAAUGCAUAGAUAUGCGGAGGAACACCGAUGGCGAAGGCAGCCUCCUGGGAUAACACUGACGCUCAUGCACGAAAGCGUGGGGAGCAAACAGG